GAGAACUAUGAUGAUGUAAUCACUGUUGGACUGAGACAUGCUACAGAUGAAUUACCAGAAAACUAUGAUGAUGUAGUCAUCAUACAACAGUUCUCCAAUGAUAAAGCAGAGGCUGUUCAGGAGGAGUAUGAUGAUGUGAAGAAUGUCAGAGAAUAUAUGAGCGACAUGUUUGACUAUGAUGAUGUGGAGGAGGAUCCAGGAAAACAGGCAGGAGCUGUAUAACUCAAACCUCACACACUGCCUCAGAUACUUUUAAAGCUUUUAAAGUUUUAGCAAUCUUACUAUAUACAUGUUUCAGUUGCAAUCUAACAGUGUUUUGUUACAUUCUGUAUUAAAAUAUACAAUUGCAGUUUUUGACAGAAAAAAAUGCUUUGCUUUCAUGACCUUUUCAAAAGGUGCUUGAAUUUUUCCAGACGCUUUUAGAAAUAUUUUCUAUUGUUUAGCCUUAGAAAUUUGAGAGAACAAAAACCUGUCAUUUUCUGACAUCAGUUACUUUGUAUAAACAUAAUUGUGUUGAGUUCAGAUUGUUCAC